rnacentral:rRNA from 1 species
AUUGAACGCUGGCGGCAGGCCUAACACAUGCAAGUCGAACGAGUGGCGGACGGGUGAGUAAUGUCUGGAAAACUGCCUGAUGGAGGGGGAUAACUACUGGACACGGUAGAUAAUACCGCAUACUAUCGGAUGUGCCCAGAUGGGAUUAGCUAGUAGGUGGGGUAAAGGCUCACCUAGGCGACGAUCCCUAGCGGGUCUGAGAGGAUGACCAGCCACACUGGAACUGAGACACGGUCCAGACUCCUACGGGAGGCAGCAGUGGGUAAUAUUGCACAAUGGGCGCAAGCCUGAUGCAGCCAUGCCGCGUGUGUGAAGAAGGCCUUCGGGUUGUAAAGCACUUUCAGCGGGGAGGCGUUACUCGCAGAAGAAGCACCGGCUAACUCCGUGCCAGCCGCCGCGGUAAUAC